GAUGAACGCUGGCGGCGCGCCUAACACAUGCAAGUCGAACGAUUAAAGCACCUUCGGGUGUGUAUAAAGUGGCGAACGGCUGAGUAACACGUGGGCAACCUGCCCCUUUCAUUGGGAUAGCCACGGGAAACCGUGGAUAAUACCGAAUACUUCGAGACUUCCGCAUGGAAGACUCGAGAAAGCUCCGGCGGAGAGGGAUGGGCCCGCGGCCUGUUAGCUUGUUGGUGGGGUAACGGCCUACCAAGGCAAUGAUGGGUAGCUGGGUUGAGAGACCGACCAGCCAGAUUGGGACUGAGACACGGCCCAGACUCCUACGGGAGGCAGCAGUGGGGAAUCUUGCACAAUGGGCGAAAGCCUGAUGCAGCGACGCCGCGUGCGGGAUGAAGGCCUUCGGGUUGUAAACCGCUUUCAGCAGGGAAGAGGCGAAAGUGACGGUACCUGCAGAAGAAGCCCCGGCUAACUACGUG
rnacentral:rRNA from 1 species